GCCUGGGUGGCUCAGUCGGUUAAGCAUCUGACUUCGGCUCAGGUCGUGAUCUCAUGGUUCGUGGGUUCGAGCCCCGCGUCGGGCU
rnacentral:tRNA from 1 species